UCUUCUAUGCAUGGAAAAUAGAAGUCUUCAAAUUAGUAAUGUAAAAUCCUUCGCCACACAAUAGAGGAUGACACUGAGAGUCUAAUAAUCUUUUUUCACCUCUAGGUGGCAAGUGCAAAGAAAAAUACCAUGCAUACCAAAAAGUGCUACACCCUCCAGAAUUAAGGAAAAUAUCGAGGUCUUCGAUUUCAUGUUGUCAAAGGAAGAUAUGAAACAAAUUGAAUCCUUUGAUUGCAAUGGAAGGUUGAUUGUACCAACAAUAGAAAGAGACGGUAUGAGAGUUUGGAGAGAUUCAAGUCAUCCAUACUUCCCUUUCAACGAGCCUUACUGAAGAUUAUACAGAUUCCAAAAAUAUCCAGAACACAUAUUGGAAAUGUUCCUUAUAAAUCAACUUUGAAAUUAAAUCUUCUUAAAUUGGUGGAGGAAUUUAAAAAAAAAAGGAGAAAUAAUUUCAAUGUCAUGGAUAUAAACAUUAAAAUUAUUAAAACUUAACUGAUUUCUACUGGACCUGGUUGGCUAAGGCAAGUAAAGGUGACAAACUUUACUUAAAUUGAUAAUCAAACAAAGUAUCAAUUAUUUCUAAGCAAAUUAAUAAAUGAACAUGGCACCUUCAUCAGUAAUACUGAGUGCAGAUUUUGAGUGAGUAUACAGAAACAACACAUAGGAUCCAGAACUUCCAACAAGAAUAUACUUGUGUAGAAUAUUCUUAUGCAUACUGUAAUGUAAAAAUUUAAUCAUUUUUACUGUCUUCAGCAAAUUAAACAUUAAAUAAAUUGUUCAAAACUAAA